AACGAGGCAAUACCUAAGGUUUACCCUGUGGGUGCCAGUACUGAAGACUCAGUCAGCAUGACGGCUGGAAGUUGUUCUACUGGACAAGUAGAAGAACUUAGUCCACAAUAAUCUUGUGUGGGUGUGGUUGGAGAGGGAAGUAAGCGUGGGAAGCUUCUUUGGCAUUCAUACAUCAGUGCAAGAGCUAAUCCAAAUGCAGAAAUAGUACUCUGCUCUUGGAGAACUAAGCUUGCACCUGGAAUAUAGUUUUGCUUACAAGUGUUUUAUGUCUGCCUGGAGAACCUGUCAGCCACUGACCGCUUUGGGCCAAGUUCCAACUGCAGGAAAUAAUCCUGAGGAGAAGAGUAGGAAGCAUUUUUGAACACUUUCUCUUCUCAAUUUGACCUGCAGGUAGAAAGGCAGUCUCCAUUUUGACAUGUCUUGCUCUGCCAUCUUCAACCACCAAAGAAAGCACUUAAGAGGGCAAAUGAUGCAGUCUGGAGCUAACUCGUGAAAUAGCACAUGUAAUUAAGAUUAUUAUAAGUGUCAGUAGAAACUGUCUGAAUCAUCACCUCCUUACAUGUGAGAAUCUAAUACUGCAUGUCAGCCUAAAUCUAAACAUCUGCAGCAAGCAACUGUAUUUCUCAGAUUAUGAUAAUUCUGUUUCAAAAUGGGAGGCGAAACAGGGGAGAAAGUUUGCAGAUUUUCAGGCGGAAAAGAAAAGGAAUCUCCAACUUCUGUGAGCAGAGUCACAAACUGACUGAUUUACUUACUUACUGAUGACAUAAGUCAUGUGUCAUUUAUAAUGUGCUGCCACAAUCCAGCUGGACACGGUUGGCUGGCAGCAAAUUAUCCUGAACCUUGCAGAGGCCACAGACCUCCAGCUUGAGGUAGAAGAUGGCAGCUCCACCAUGAUGAGGGACCAUCCUCAGGAGCCCUGGAGAUCGGCCUGUUGUCCCAUGACUGAUGCCUGCCUGGGCAGCAGAGAUUCAUCAGGUGCUUUGUUAGGAUGGCAAGCACAGUAGUGAUUAAAUAUUAAAUCCUAACUACGUUUUGUGGGCGCUGCCAAUAAAUAGUUUAUUUACAAUAUGAAGUUAUGUAUAUGCUGCUUACAGCAUUUUUGAACCUGGCUAAAGAUGUCUGAACAAGCUGACCCAAAAGAGGAGCUGUAAAAGAGAGUGUGCAGGGAAGUAUCUUCUUUUUACUUAAAAAUAUGCUCAUUGCACCAGACUAUAUAGUGUUUGUUUAUGCUAAAACAAAUAAGAUCAUAUCCAUAAAUCAAUGAAAAGAAUUAAAAGAAUAAUUAAUAUUCACUCUUUUGUACCUAUUCUGCACUCCCUUCAUAAUUUGUAGCAGAUGGAAGCCAAAUGUUUUCAAAGAAUCGGAACCAAUUUUAUAAAAAGAUGGCUCAUCUUUUCAAAAUAACUUCUCCUUAGACUGCCAGUUGUACUUAGGAUUUUAAUCUAUAAAAACGUUACUGUUGGAAUAUGAUAAUAUUUUUAGUAGCUCCAAGUGAAUUCACAUUCUUGAGCCUUCCUCCAUAUUCCAUAUCUGAAGAUUCUUCCUUUUCACACCACUAUCUCAUUGUUUUACAUGCCUUUGGAAAAAUCUAGAAACCUUUGUGCCACAGCAAUAUUCUCAUUCUCUGCUAACAAGCUGUUGUUGUUUUAUUUGUGGUAGAUUUUCUUGAUUUAGAAUAAAAUCUGUUUUUUAAAUUUAUUUUAUUGCAUGGAGAUAUAGAGUACAUUAUGAGUAAUACUACCACAAAUCAGUAGAGAUGUCUGUCUUUUUUCUUCCUUAAGAAUUAAAGAAUUGCUAAGUCGAUAUUUAAAGAAAUGGAAGUGAAGAUAUGGAAAGAAAAUAAACAGAACUGAGUAAAGUAGAACAGAAAAUGAUGUUGACGAAAUAUACUCUCUCUUAAGUAACAAUUCCAAAUAUGCAUUUAAGAGUAAAACUAAACAGAUGAUGGUGAUGGGACAGAAGCCUGUAGCAGAAAGUAAGCUAUAGUGUGUGUCCAAAACACAUAAAUAAACAAGACUGAGAAUGAAAACUCUUAUUCAGAAAUGCACAGAAACAAUUUCUUAGGUACAUCCUUAGGUUGCUUAAACAAGGAUUUGAAGCAUCUAAUAUCAAAAGUACAAAAUACAGAUGAAAAAUACAAUUCAACGUUUCAAGUGGCAAGAUUAUCUUAGAAUUUCUAGCUGUGGUCUAUCCUGAUCUUUCCUCAAGUAAAUAUCUAGAAAAACUUCUGAAGAAAACAGAGGAGAAUAAGUAUAUUCACAAAGUGAAUUUCUGCGAUAACUCAUCUGGCAAGUAGACUACCACUGCAGAGGAACCAUUCUUUCUUAGGAAGCAUCUAAUACAUUACUAUUGCUGGGAGGAGACCUGGGCAGAAGAGGGACUCCUGAAGCCACUGAAGGAAGGAAAUCAUUACAGGGUUCUACAGAAGUAGGUCAUGUGCUACAGCUGCUCAUAGUUUAAGAGGAAGAAACAUGGGACCUCAAACAUGGAACAUGACUCCUUCAAAAUGCUUGAGAGCAACCCAAGAAAAACAUCC